GUAUGAAGGGACCAUCUGGAUGACCCCCGCAUCUACUGCUAGGGUUGUUUUGGCUGGUCUGGCUGGUCAGGUGUGCGUCCUCUUCCUUCCUCUCCAUUUCAUGUGUACCCCACCAAGAGCUGCUUGCUCCAUCCUUGAAGACAACCUUUCCUGAACAAGGGAGCAUCAUUCAUUGUCAAGGGUAUAAAUAGCCAUGCUCACCUACUAGAACCUCCAAGUAAACUCUUAAGCUGCAAAAUAUCUUAUAGUAUUGCUUACAUUCAAGAAAUGUAACUU
rnacentral:snRNA from 1 species